ACACCUCAACUCUCACGGUUUGCCGUGAUGAGCUUGGACUUUGGGGGUUUUGCUGGCCUAUGGUUGGCUCCUCUCAAACGAAUCAGCUUGCCAGUGUUUUGGCGGCGUCAUGGGUGUGAUAACUAUCUACGCUCGCGAUCGUCUGCCAAGUGACCUUCAGUGAUGGAGGUUCGCUGAAGCUUACAAACGUCUCUCCUCAGCGAAGACAGCUUUUUGAAC
rnacentral:misc_RNA from 1 species